CAUAGGUUAAUGAGGCGAACCGGGGGAACUGAAACAUCUAAGUACCCCGAGGAAAAGAAAUCAACCGAGAUUCCCCCAGUAGCGGCGAGCGAACGGGGAGGAGCCCAGAGCCUGAAUCAGUGUGUGUGUUAGUGGAAGCGUCUGGAAAGGCGCGCGAUACAGGGUGACAGCCCCGUACACAAAAAUGCACAUACUGUGAGCUCGAUGAGUAGGGCGGGACACGUGGUAUCCUGUCUGAAUAUGGGGGGACCAUCCUCCAAGGCUAAAUACUCCUGACUGACCGAUAGUGAACCAGUACCGUGAGGGAAAGGCGAAAAGAACCCCGGCGAGGGGAGUGAAAAAGAACCUGAAACCGUGUACGUACAAGCAGUGGGAGCCUCUUAAUGGGGUGACUGCGUACCUUUUGUAUAAUGGGUCAGCGACUUAUAUUCUGUAGCAAGGUUAACCGAAUAGGGGAGCCGAAGGGAAACCGAGUCUUAACUGGGCGUUAAGUUGCAGGGUAUAGACCCGAAACCCGGUGAUCUAGCCAUGGGCAGGUUGAAGGUUGGGUAACACUAACUGGAGGACCGAACCGACUAAUGUUGAAAAAUUAGCGGAUGACUUGUGGCUGGGGGUGAAAGGCCAAUCAAACCGGGAGAUAGCUGGUUCUCCCCGAAAGCUAUUUAGGUAGCGCCUCGUGAAUUCAUCUCCGGGGGUAGAGCACUGUUUCGGCAAGGGGGUCAUCCCGACUUACCAACCCGAUGCAAACUGCGAAUACCGGAGAAUGUUAUCACGGGAGACACACGGCGGGUGCUAACGUCCGUCGUGAAGAGGGAAACAACCCAGACCGCCAGCUAAGGUCCCAAAGUCAUGGUUAAGUGGGAAACGAUGUGGGAAGGCCCAGACAGCCAGGAUGUUGGCUUAGAAGCAGCCAUCAUUUAAAGAAAGCGUAAUAGCUCACUGGUCGAGUCGGCCUGCGCGGAAGAUGUAACGGGGCUAAACCAUGCACCGAAGCUGCGGCAGCGACGCUUAUGCGUUGUUGGGUAGGGGAGCGUUCUGUAAGCCUGUGAAGGUGGCCUGUGAGGGUUGCUGGAGGUAUCAGAAGUGCGAAUGCUGACAUAAGUAACGAUAAAGCGGGUGAAAAGCCCGCUCGCCGGAAGACCAAGGGUUCCUGUCCAACGUUAAUCGGGGCAGGGUGAGUCGACCCCUAAGGCGAGGCCGAAAGGCGUAGUCGAUGGGAAACAGGUUAAUAUUCCUGUACUUGGUGUUACUGCGAAGGGGGGACGGAGAAGGCUAUGUUGGCCGGGCGACGGUUGUCCCGGUUUAAGCGUGUAGGCUGGUUUUCCAGGCAAAUCCGGAAAAUCAAGGCUGAGGCGUGAUGACGAGGCACUACGGUGCUGAAGCGACAAAUGCCCUGCUUCCAGGAAAAGCCUCUAAGCAUCAGGUAACAUUAAAUCGUACCCCAAACCGACACAGGUGGUCAGGUAGAGAAUACCAAGGCGCUUGAGAGAACUCGGGUGAAGGAACUAGGCAAAAUGGUGCCGUAACUUCGGGAGAAGGCACGCUGAUAUGUAGGUGAAGCGACUUGCUCGUGGAGCUGAAAUCA
rnacentral:rRNA from 1 species